rnacentral:rRNA from 1 species
ACUGCUCAGUAACACGUGGACAACUUGCCCUAUCGUGGAGGAUAAUCUCGGGAAACUGAGGAUAAUACUCCAUAGGUCUUGGAUACUGGAAUGUUCCAAGUCCAAAAGCUCCGGCGCGAUAGGAUAGGUCUGCGGCCGAUUAGCUUGUAGGCGGUGUAAUGGACCACCUAGGCUAUAAUCGGUAAGGGUCAUGAGAGUGAUAGCCCUGAGACGGAAUCUGAGACACUAUUCCGAGCCUUACGGGGUGCAGCAGCAGCGAAACCUUUACAAUGCACGAAAGUGUGAUAAGGGAAUUCCAAGUGUGCAUAUACCAUAUGUACUCUUCUUUAGUCUAAAACGCUAGAGGAAUAAGGGGUGGGUAAGACUAGUGCCAGCCGCCGCGGUAAAACUAGCAUCCCAAGUGGCAGUCACCAUUACUGGGCUUAAAGCGUCCGUAGCUUGUUUUGAAAGUCUCUGGUGAAAUCCUGCAGCUUAACUGUAGGGCUUGCCGGAGAAACUCUAAGACUUGAGGAUGGGAGAGGUCGGAGGUACUUCUGGGGUAGGGGUGAAAUCCUAUAAUCCUAGAAGGACCAACAGUGGCGAAGGCGUCCGACAUGAACAUGCCUGACAGUGAGGGACGAGAGCCAGGGUCGCGAAACGGAUUAGAUACCCGUGUAGUCCUGGCCGUAAACGAUGUUGACUAGGUGGGGCGCGUACUUCGAGUACGUGCUAUGCCGAAGGGAAACCGUUAAGUCAACCGCCUGGGGAGUACGUUCGCAAGAAUGAAACUUAAAGGAAUUGGCGGGGGAGCACUACAAGGGGUGGAAGCUGCGGUUU